UACGGAGGGUGCAAGCGUUAUCCGGAAUCACUGGGUUUAAAGGGUGCGUAGGCGGUGGCGUAAGUCAGUCGUGAAAUACUUCGGCUCAACCGAUAGAACUGCGAUUGAUACUGUGUCACUUGAAUCAGGAUGAGGCAGGCGGAAUGUGGCAUGUAGCGGUGAAAUGCUUAGAUAUGCCAUAGAACACCGAUUGCGAAGGCAGCUUGCUGGGCCUGUAUUGACGCUGAGGCACGAAAGCGUGGGGAGCAAACAGG
rnacentral:rRNA from 1 species